rnacentral:rRNA from 1 species
CAAUAGCGUAUAUUAAAGUUGUUGCGGUUAAAAAGCUCGUAGUUGGAUUUCUGCCGAGGACGACCGGUCCGCCCUCUGGGUGAGCAUCUGGAUCGGCCUGGGCAUCUUCUUGGGGAACGUGUCUGCACUUGACUGUGUGGUGCGGUAUCCAGGACUUUUACUUUGAGGAAAUUAGAGUGUUCACGGCAGGCAAGCGCCUUGAAUAUAUUAGCAUGGAAUAAUAAUAUAGGACUUUGGUUCUAUUUUGUUGGUUUCUAGAACUAAAGUAAUGAUUAAUAGGGAUAAUUGGGGGCGAUUUGUACUAUCGAGUCAGAGGUGGAAUUCUUGGAUUUCGAUAUGACAAACUAACUGCGAAAGCAUUUGUCCAAGGAUGUUUUCAUUGAUCAAGAACGAAAGUAUGGGGAUCGAAGACGAUCAGAUACCGU